rnacentral:misc_RNA from 1 species
UACGUAGGGCGCGAGCGUGGUCCGGAAUUAUUGGGCGUAAAGGGCUCGUAGGCGGUUUGUCGCGUCUGCUGUGAAAGCCCGGGGCUUAACUCCGGGUCUGCAGUGAUACGGGCAGGCUAGAGUCCGGCAGGGGAGACUGGAAUUCCUGGUGUAGCGGUGGAAUGCGCAGAUAUCAGGAGGAACACCGGUGGCGAAGGCGGGUCUCUGGGCCGGUACUGACGCUGAGGAGCGAAAGCAUGGGGAGCGAACAGG